rnacentral:rRNA from 1 species
CCCUUCGGGAGCCUAUACAGGUGUUGCAUGGCUGUCGUCAGCUCGUGUCGUGAGAUGUUCGGUUAAGUCCGCUAACGAGCGCAACCCUCGUCGUAUGUUAUAUGUGUCAUACGAGACUGCCGGUAAAAAGCCGGAGGAAGGUGAGGAUGAUGUCAAGUCAGCAUGACCUUUAUAUCCAGGGCUACACACACGCUACAAUGGUCUGUACAAUGGGUAGCCAAGCCGCGAGGCGGAGCCAAUCCUGAAAGCAGGCCUCAGUUCAGAUUGCAGUCUGCAACUCGACUGCAUGAAGCCGGAGUUGCUAGUAACCGCAGGUCAGCAAUACUGCGGUGAAUACGUUCCCGGGUCUU